rnacentral:rRNA from 1 species
AACGAACGCUGGCGGCAUGCCUAACACAUGCAAGUCGAACGAGACCUUCGGGUCUAGUGGCGCACGGGUGCGUAACACGUGGGAAUUUGCCUCGGGGUAUGGAAUAACUCAGGGAAACUUGAGCUAAUACCAUAUAAUGUCUUCGGACCAAAGAUUUAUCGCCCUGAGAUAAGCCCGCGUAGGAUUAGCUAGUUGGUGGGGUAAAGGCUCACCAAGGCGACGAUCCUUAGCUGGUCUGAGAGGAUGAUCAGCCACACUGGGACUGAGACACGGCCCAGACUCCUACGGGAGGCAGCAGUGGGGAAUAUUGGACAAUGGGCGAAAGCCUGAUCCAGCAAUGCCGCGUGAGUGAUGAAGGCCUUAGGGUUGUAAAGCUCUUUUACCCGAGAUGAUAAUGACAGUAUCGGGAGAAUAAGCUCCGGCUAACUCCGUGCCAGCA